rnacentral:rRNA from 1 species
UAUUGGUCAAUGGCCGCAGGGCUGAACCAGCCAAGUCGCGUGAGGGAUGACGGUCCUAUGGAUUGUAAACCUCUUUUGUCAGGGAGCAAAGGGCGCCACGUGUGGCGUUUUGCGAGUACCUGAAGAAAAAGCAUCGGCUAACUCCGUGCCAGCAGCCGCGGUAAUACGGAGGAUGCGAGCGUUAUCCGGAUUUAUUGGGUUUAAAGGGUGCGCAGGCGGAAUGUCAAGUCAGCGGUAAAAUUUCGGGGCUCAACCCCGUCGUGCCGUUGAAACUGGCGUUCUUGAGUGAGCGAGAAGUAUGCGGAAUGCGUGGUGUAGCGGUGAAAUGCAUAGAUAUCACGCAGAACUCCGAUUGCGAAGGCAGCAUACCGGCGCUCAACUGACGCUCAUGCACGAAAGCGUGGGUAUCGAACAGG